CCUACGGGUGGCAGCAGUAGGGAAUAUUGCUCAAUGGGGGAAACCCUGAAGCAGCAACGCCGCGUGGAGGAUGAAUGUUUUAGGAUUGUAAACUCCUUUUUUGAGAGAAGUUAAUGACGGUAUGUCACGAAUAAUCACCGGCUAACUCCGUGCCAGCAGCCGCGGUAAUACGGAGGGUGCAAGCGUUAUUCGGAAGCACUGGGCGUAAAGAGUGCGCAGGCGGGUUGGUAAGUCAGAUGUGAAAUCCUGAAGCUUAACUAUAGAAUUGCAUUUGAAACUAUAAGUCUGGAGUGUAGGCGAGGUAGGUGGAAUUCGUGGUGUAGGGGUAAAAUCCGUAGAUAUCACGAGGAAUACUCAUUGCGAAGGCGACCUACUAAACCAUUACUGACACUCAUGCACGAAAGCGUGGGGAGCAAACAGGAUUAGAUACCCGAGUAGUC
rnacentral:rRNA from 1 species